CGAUGCCGUCUUCUUUGGUCAAAGAGAAGCAGCCACCAAAAGCAGAAGCUCUUCCUUCUCCGUCUCCCUCCUCGUCUCCACCCCCGAGCAUCCCUCGCUCUCGAACUCCUAACCGCAACUCUUAUCGUUUAACCUUUGCGAAUCCGUCGCUGGAUCUUGCGAUCGCGUCCCCUUCCCCGGUCCGAUACGUCUCCGGUCUCCGUCUCCGCUUGAAUUUCGCAUAAAGGGAGCAGAUGCCAGAGGAGGAUCUGGUGGAGCUGAGAUUUCGGCUCUAUGAUGGAUCCGACAUCGGUCCCAUCUGCUACUCUUCGUCUUCCACGGUUGCUAUGCUCAAAGAGAGGAUAAUAUCUGAAUGGCCAAGAGAUAAGAAGAUUAUCCCAAAAUUGGCUAAUGACGUCAAACUGAUAAGUGCGGGAAAAAUAUUGGAUAACAGCAAAACAAUCUCUCAGUGCAGACCAAGUUUUGGUGAACUCCCUGGAGGGGUUAUCACUAUGCAUGUUGUUGUGCAGCCGUCGUCUGCUAAAUCUAAAACAGAGAAGAACGUCGACGAGUUGCCAAAGAAAGCCUGUUCCUGUUCCAUAUUGUAGAGCAAUUAGCUUCAUCUAUUAGUUAGUCAGCUACAAUAGUAUUAUAUCCACCUGGGAGGAACAGGAAGAUGGAAGAACACUCAUGGCACAAGUUCUUUUCCUGGAUGAAGAUACCGAUGCUUCCCUCAUUCCAUCUCUGCUGUCGCAGGUUGGUGAGAUGGGAAAAGAGAGAAAGUUCACGAGGCUUUCGACUCCGGAGAUACAGAGAGUGAUGGAGAACUCCUUCUCGGCCGAUCCAUGGAACGCCGCCGGGCAUUGACGGGACAAGCCCGAUCGAGACUCAGCGGUGCCGGCGGCGAAGCCUCGAGUGGUACCCAUUCUCGUCCAGUUUGUCGGAUCCGACGGGACGCCCGCGGAGGCGGCAAGGUCGGUUGCGGCUGCGACGAUCCUGAGGGUCCUCCGAGGCCACCUGAUGCGGAAGAACGUGAGGGUAGUCUCCCGGAUCGAUGCGGCGGUGGGGGAGAUCGAGCGGUGGAUCCGGGAGGAAGAAGAGCAGUUGUAGGCGGACCCGAUGGAGCGGCUGUGGAUGGGUGAGAGAUGCUCAUGGCGUUGCUCCUCCGCCUGGACUCGGUGCGCGGGGUGAGGGAGUACCGCGGAAGAAGGUGAUCCGGAGAGUGAUCUCGCUGCAAGAGUUCCUGGAUUCGUUCCCGGUCCAACUCCAAACCCUAGAUUCAUCAGAGAUCCGUGAUUCUGGUGCCGACGCCAAAGACAACGCGGUUCUUGAACGCCAUGAUCCGGGCUCUACUGCCGACGGAUAAGUUGUCUUCCACGAGAACCAAGAUCCGAUGUUAGCCGUGAAAUGCCAAAGCCCACGAAAGAGGACCGGUCUCCGUUGCUUCUGAUGACAAGUUCGAAACCCUGGACUUCGCGGGGGAAGAAGGCUUCGUGUUGAUCAGCAUGGACGAAGCCAUGGGUACGUCUCCCACGGGAGCAGUCUCUGAAGCAAAAUACGAUGAGGUUAGCUUGGAGAAAUCUGCUGUAUCUGGCGAAGAGAGCAGGGACGAAUCAGGACCGCACAUGGCAAAGGAUCCAACACAAGAAUGGGCCGAACAAGGAGAUGGUCCGAAGGAUGGAUCUAGGAUGGCACAGGUGCUGAAAAAGAUGAUGGCAGAGAAGGAAAGGCUGCAGGAUCUGGUGGCAACACAAUGUGAAGAGAGCGCACAAAUAAGCAGCGCGAUGACAUGGCUGGUCGAGAGGGUCGAGCGCUUGGAGCAGGGGGUAUAGAGCAUGAAAAAGGAGAGUAAGAAAAGGCAUGCUAACUGCGCUCGUGCCUCCCCAAUCAAUAAGAAAGGUGACCCACAGAUAUAGCAGCUACAGAUGGAGUGAAGUCCUCGUACCUUAGAAGGUGGAGAUUGCUAGCUAGCUUAUUUGUCAUUGAACAUUGUAGUUGAACAUUCAUCUUAGUUUAAUGGUCAUGAUGAGGCUUAAACAUGCUGAUUUAAAAAUAAAUAUUUUGUGAAUUUAAGUUUCUUUUUGUUAAUGUAUGUGUUGACAGGAGAUUUCUCCUUUAGUCGCAAAAACAGGUGUCCUCUGAACUGACCUGAGGUGCCGAAUUCAGAUUUUUGUGUUUUGCGUCUACUUUUUUAAACCAAUUUCAAUUUGAUGGACUAUCCUAUCUAAUGUGUCGCUCCAUUGGGAAGAUUCUCCUCUAUGUAUUCAUCAACUGUAACCAAAACUUUGCCAGGAUGAUUUUGAUGCCUUGAUUGAGAGUUUGUUGA